rnacentral:rRNA from 1 species
GAUGAACGCUAGUGGGAGGCUUAACACAUGCAAGUCGAGGGGCAUCACGAGGUAGCAAUACUUUGGUGGCGACCGGCGCACGGGUGAGUAACACGUAUGCAACCUACCCUGUACAGGGGGAUAACCCGGAGAAAUUCGGACUAAUAUUCCAUAAUGAUAUUUUAGGGCAUCCUUUAAUAUUUAAAGCUUUGGCGGUACAGGAUGGGCAUGCGCAACAUUAGCUAGUUGGGAGGGUAACGGCCUACCAAGGCUAUGAUGUUUAGGGGACCUGAGAGGGUGAUCCCCCACACUGGUACUGAGACACGGACCAGACUCCUACGGGAGGCAGCAGUGAGGAAUAUUGGUCAAUGGGCGGAAGCCUGAACCAGCCAUCCCGCGUGCAGGAAGACAGCCCUAUGGGUUGUGAACUGCUUUUCCAGUGGGCGAACCCCUCGUACGUGUACGGGAUUGACGGUACACUGGGAAUAAGCAUCGGCUAACUCCGUGCCAGCAGCCGCGGUAAUCACGAG